AUGAUAGUUUAUUCAGUUGGAUCAGGUCUAAGGUGAUGCUAGUUGUUGUGUUCCUCUGGAAGACAAAAUGGUAUGGACUAUGGAGAAGAAUGAAAAAUAACAUGUUUCUUUUGGAAUUCCAUUUUGGCAAGCGUUUGAUGUCCAAUGAAAGUUGAGAAGUAUUAAAACUUGUUUCUUAUCUAGGUUACUUUGGACCUUUGUGUCUGAAUAUAUUUAGAGCUUGGAGACGGCAGAUCUUGUAUUACUUAAAAUUUUAUCGGAAUUUGAGUAUUCCUUUUGAGAUUUUUGUCUUUAGUGGUAUAUUUUUGUACUUGAGUGCAAUUCUACCAAUGAUUAUUCUAGUCUAUGUUUGCUGCUAAUUGUGUAUCCCUUUUAUGCAAGCAGAAGUUGCAGUGGAAGCACAGAA
rnacentral:misc_RNA from 1 species